GAACAUGAGUUAACUAUGUGACGGCUUUACAAACUCUCCUGAUCUGAAGUGUCUGAAAUAGCCUGUGGCGGAAACAUUUGUAAUAUUUGGCCAGUGGUGGCAAAUGGCAGCCUGGCGACAGUCUACCGUGAAAGAACCUGCCCUUGAGGCCUGGACGUUUGUGGUGACUGGACGAAUGCUACAUUGUCCAGCAGUUUGGUGUUAAAAGAUCAAUAGAGGGUCCAUCAGUGUGUCCCGUGGCUCACCUCUCAGCGAGACCCCUCUUGGUCAGGCCUGAGAUGAUGAUGGGGUCAAAGGGCUCCUCGGUGCCGGAGAUGGUGAUGCCCAGCGGGCCGCCGUAGCGCUUCAGCUCCACCGUGUAGAUGAUGGAGCCGGACGACUCCUGCUCGUCUGGACAGAGGACACACUUCUGCUGUCACACGUCACACUACAUUCAACUGACAAGCAUUCAUUUCAACAUAUUCUGAAUAUCCAAUGAAUAAUUGAACACUGUGAACAGAAGAGCUCAGUGUUUACAUCUCUUGAUUCGCUCCUGGUGCUGCGAAACAAAACAAAGGUAAAACAACAGACAUUUUCAUUUCAAAGCAACGAUAAAACGUUUCGAUUCAUCUGCAUCUUUGACCACAGACGGUGUUUUACCCUCAUAACAAAAAAAAAAAGACAGAUAUAAAAAAGUUACUACGUAAUUCCCAUCCAUGUAUUAUUUUUAUAGUUUUUAAUGGUUUACUAUUGUUCUCAAUGUGGAAAAUAGUAAUAAUAAAGAGUGAGUAGGUGUG